rnacentral:tRNA from 1 species
GGGGCUAUAGCUCAGUGGUAGAGCACUUACCUAGCAUGUGUGAGGCAUUGAGUUUUAUUCUUAGCACCA